UACGUAGGGCGCAAGCGUUGUCCGGAAUUAUUGGGCGUAAAGAGCUCGUAGGCGGUCUGUCGCGUCUGCUGUGAAAACUCGGGGCUUAACCCCGGGCCUGCAGUGGGUACGGGCAGACUAGAGUGCGGUAGGGGAGACUGGAAUUCCUGGUGUAGCGGUGAAAUGCGUAGAUAUCAGGAGGAACACCGGUGGCGAAGGCGGCUAUCUGGACAGAAACUGACGCUGAGGCGCGAAAGCUAGGGUAGCAAACGGG
rnacentral:rRNA from 1 species